CUGCCUCGGCUGCAAACAUUGAGAUACAUGGUUUUUAAAUUCUAGUAAAUCCAAAACUCGUGUGAAAUUCAUGAAACUUGGCAUCCUAUCAUUGAAUGACAUCAACAUGAUGUGGUAAAAAGUUUGUUCCAUUUGGGGCAUGCUUGCGUCUAAGCUUCUCACAAACCAGAGCUUCUCACAACAAUCCUCAUGGUUUCGAUAGGGAAUGUGCCUCCUUCAUGGAUGAAACGAUAUUCAUUGCCUCUUCUUGCUCUCAUUUUUUUCCCUAGUGGCAACAUAGAGCAACAUGAGUGUCUUGUUAAAAUUUGGAAUUUUUCGGGGUUCAUUUGGACAUUUUUAUACAUUAGCUGAGUUUGCUAGGCAUUUUAUGUGCAUAAUUCAAAUUUGAACUAUAUGGACAUGCUCCAGUGUAGAAAAAGGGUUGAAAAAUCAAAUGUGUGUCCUUGCGUGCAUGCUUAGGUCCCAUGAAAGAAAUGGGAAUGAAGUUCAAACACCUCGGCAUCCUGCCUCUGCCGCAAACAUUGAGUUAGUUGGUUUAAAAAUUCUAGUAAAUCCAAAACUCGUGUGAAAUCAUUAAAAUUUGGCAUGGUAUCAUUGAACAACAUAAACUUGAUGUGGUAAAAAGUUUGUCCCAUUCAGGGAAGGUUUGGGUAUAAGCUUGUCACAAACUAGAGCUUCUCACAACAAGCCUCAUGGUUCCGGUAGGGAAUGUGCCUCAUGUGUGGAUGAAUCUAUAUUCGUUGUCUCUUCUUUCUUUGAUUUUUUUUCCUAGUGGCAACAUAGAGCAAUAUGAGUCUCUUGUUAAAAUUUUGAUUUUUUGGGGUUUGUUUGGACAUUUUUAUACAUCAACUGAGUUUUCUAGGCAUUUUAUAUGCAUAAUUCAAAUUUGAACUACAUGCAUAUGCUCAAGUGCAUAUAAAUGGGUCAAAAAAAAUCAAAUGUGUGACCUUGGGUGCAUGCUUAGGUCCCAUGCAAGAAAUAAGAAUGAACUUCAAACAACUCGACAUCGUGCCUCGGACGCAAACAUUGAGAUACUUGGUUUUAAAAUUCUAGUAAAUCCAAAACUCAUCUAAAAUUCAUGAAACUUGUCAUGCUAUCAUAGAAUGGCACCCGGCAUGUUGUGGUAUUUUUCAUCUCCAAUUUGAGAGUAGGCGCACUCGAAUGAACAUCCAUCAAAGGCAUUUUCAAACAAAUAGCUGCCACUUUAUCAUCUCAAAUGUUUGUAUAAUUUAAAUCAUGUGCAUUGUGUUAACCAUUGACGUGAUGCCACAUGUCACACUUUUAAUGGCUAUGAGGUGCGGUGCAGAUAACUGCUUGAGUAGAUGGGAGGCAUGUCACACUAAGCAUUUAUUUGAGUGGCUAACUUACGAGUACAAGAAUAUGAGAGGGGGUUGGUCUAGCAUAACCGGACGUGAACUAGUAUAACCAUGAAGUGAUCCUGAACACCUACUUACGAUUCAAACAUAACCCCACCGUGUCCUCUCUCGGAUAAGAACUCACGAGAAGAGACAAUCACAGUUACACACACAGUUGGCAUAAUUUAGUUAAGUUUACUUCAAGUUUGCUAUGACCGGGAGCUAAACAAUGUUUCCAAGUUUCCACAUAACCACGGGCACGGCUCUCAAACAGAUUUAACCCUGCAGGGGUGCUCCAACUAGUCCAUCACAAACUACCACAAGCUGCAUUGGAAACCUCGACCAUAGAAAACCCGUGAUCUCCUCGACUUCCCGGUGGAAAAUCUCAACCUCGAGGGAGCCAAAAGUAUCCUCGGAAUCCCUCGCACAAGACGUUCGAGAAGGGUAAAACAAUUCCAACAUGACCGUCCGACGUGGCGACAACCCCGAUAAGAGGUGUGUAUCUCCUUCUCAGGAUACGUGGGAUAAGUGAAGCAUACGGUGCCCUAAUAGAGAUCUCCCAGGUUGCCCCAGGUUGCAUUUUGACGAAACUCCACAUUUGAAUCAUUUAAUUCACUUCCGUUUAUUCUCACGGCAAUAUUGAAUGUUGUUUAGCAUGCCCAGAGGUGAAGCAUAAAUAAACUACCUAUCUAGGCAUCUUAAAUGAGGUCGGAAACAACAUAUAGCAUUUCCGAAACGACCCCAUAUGUGAAUUUCGAAAUUGGUCCAGAUCUAAACUAAACAUAUUAUAUAUUUAUUAAAUAGAAAAUAAAGUGGACCAUGUGAUUCUACACGUCAUUCUAGUCAAUUUACAUAUAUAGAUAGUCUAAAAUGGAGUUACAGUCUAAAAUAUAUGAUCAUCACAAGAUAAUAUGACAUGGAUGCAAAAUGCAUGCAAACGAAAAAACAAACAUGUCAAAGCAUGGACGUAACGAGAUAUUAUGAUACUACAUGAAAUUAUAGGUAAGUUUAAAUGAGGACGGAACAAUGAAUAACAUUCCAGAAAGUCUCCAUAUACGAAUUAAAAUUUUGGUACUGUUAUGCCUAUAACACAGUUUUAGAUUUGUUAAACAACAAAAUAAAUACCACAAGUUAUUCUACGCAUUGUUGUAGUCUAGUUACAUAUGUGGAUCGUUUUACUCGGAGCUAUGGUUAAUUAGUUAUGAAAUAAAUCAUUUUAACAUGGCGUCUAUGCAAAUUAAAUGGAGACAACAGGUUAAACAUUUUUAUCAUGGACGAAAGUUAGUUAAUCUAAAACUACAUAAAAUUCUACACAUUUUUCUUAUAUAGUUAAUUUUAAUCCACUGAACGGUUGGUGAGUUAUUAAUGCAUGAAGAUGAGGGUCUUUACUGUGAAUUUGUUGUUCACUGGAAUAAAAGAGAAAUAAGUCUAGAGCAGAAAAAAUAUAUAUCGGGCCGAAACUUUGAGCGUGGGAUAGCUAAAAGGUGCACAUGGCAAGGCAUUGCGGGCAGCUCACCCUGGGCCAGCAGGUUUGCUGGAGAAGGUGGCUUUGGUCGAUGCUGUGCCGGAGGAGCUAGCGCUCGCUUGGGCUUGCGGUUCCACGGUGUUGCAGGUCUUUGACUGGGCCUUGGCGCGGCUGGGUGGUAGGUCCACGCGCGAGCCAUGGAGGUCGAGGGACUCAUCCUUGUCCUCGACAGGAGCAGAGCGCGGCGACGCGGCUUUCAGCAAGGGCCGGCUGGACAGAGGCGUCGUGGAGAUGCGGGGAAUGGAGGAGGGACGAUGUCAAGGUCUAGAUCCGACAAAGAACAACGGCGGCGGUUGUUGGAGCUCUAGAUCAGAGGCGAUGGAGGUCAAGGGCGUCCUCCAUGACGGGUUCCCUGAUCUCCUCGUUCAAGAAAGAGAGAGCUUAGACGGGGAGAGAGAACUAUGGGAGGAGAGAGUGCAGAGCAUGAGGGGAGGCGCUGGCCUGGUGGACGGCUCGUCGACGUGGUCAAAGCCGAGGAGGAAUCCUUGGGCGAGGAGAUUGUGGUUCCAUGGAUGGACUCGAGGAGCUCGCUCCUCACGCGAGCGCUGGCAUCUGCACGGCAAGGGACGCGUCGAGGACGCUUCCUCGCCAUCCAUCGAGCGCGAACGGUUGAGAUGGAUGGAUCGAGGUGUCACUGGAUUCGAUUGAGAGGGAGAGGUGGUUGGUCUGACGCUAAAAUCAAGGGGAGACCAAGUGGUCGGAGGCGCGCUCAGGAUUGGAGCGAGCUGGUUUGCCAAGUUCUAGGGUUUUA
rnacentral:lncRNA from 1 species